rnacentral:rRNA from 1 species
GAUGAACGCUGGCGGCGUGCCUAAUACAUGCAAGUCGAGCGAACGGACGAGAAGCUUGCUUCUCUGAUGUUAGCGGCGGACGGGCGAGUAACACGUGGAUAACCUCCUUAUAAGCCUGGGAAAACUUCGGGAAACCGGAGCUAAUCCGGGAUAAUAUUUUGAACCGCAUGGUUCAAAGGUAAAAGACGGUUUUGCUGUCACUUCUAGAUGGAUCCCCGCGGCAUUAGCUAGUUGGUAAGGUAACGGCUUACCAAGGCAACGAUGCAUAGCCGACCUGAGAGGGUGAUCGGCCACACUGGAACUGAGACACGGUCCAGACUCCUACGGGAGGCAGCAGUAGGGAAUCUUCCGCAAUGGGCGAAAGCCUGACGGAGCAACGCCGCGUGAGUGAUGAAGGUCUUCGGAUCGUAAAACUCUGUUAUUAGGGAAGAACAUAUGUGUAAGUAACUGUGCACAUCUUGACGGUACCUAAUCAGAAAGCCACGGCUAACUACGUG